rnacentral:rRNA from 1 species
GGUUAAGCGACUAAGCGUACACGGUGGAUGCCCUGGCAGUCAGAGGCGAUGAAGGACGUGCUAAUCUGCGAAAAGCGCCGGCGAGGUGAUAUGAACCUUUGACCCGGCGAUGUCCGAAUGGGGAAACCCAGUGUGAUUCGUCACACUAUCGUUAACUGAAUACAUAGGUUAACGAGGCGAACCGGGGGAACUGAAACAUCUAAGUACCCCGAGGAAAAGAAAUCAACCGAGAUUCCCCCAGUAGCGGCGAGCGAACGGGGAGCAGCCCAGAGUCUGAAUCAGCUUGUGUGUUAGUGGAAGCGUCUGGAAAGUCGCACGGUACAGGGUGACAGUCCCGUACACGAAAGCACACAGGUUGUGAACUCGAAGAGUAGGGCGGGACACGUGGUAUCCUGUCUGAAUAUGGGGGGACCAUCCUCCAAGGCUAAAUACUCCUGACUGACCGAUAGUGAACCAGUACCGUGAGGGAAAGGCGAAAAGAACCCCGGCGAGGGGAGUGAAAAAGAACCUGAAACCGUGUACGUACAAGCAGUGGGAGCACCUUCGUGGUGUGACUGCGUACCUUUUGUAUAAUGGGUCAGCGACUUAUAUUCUGUAGCAAGGUUAACCGUAUAGGGGAGCCGAAGGGAAACCGAGUCUUAACUGGGCGUUAAGUUGCAGGGUAUAGACCCGAAACCCGGUGAUCUAGCCAUGGGCAGGUUGAAGGUUGGGUAACACUAACUGGAGGACCGAACCGACUAAUGUUGAAAAAUUAGCGGAUGACUUGUGGCUGGGGGUGAAAGGCCAAUCAAACCGGGAGAUAGCUGGUUCUCCCCGAAAGCUAUUUAGGUAGCGCCUCGUGAACUCAUCUUCGGGGGUAGAGCACUGUUUCGGCUAGGGGGCCAUCCCGGCUUACCAACCCGAUGCAAACUACGAAUACCGAAGAAUGUUAUCACGGGAGACACACGGCGGGUGCUAACGUCCGUCGUGAAGAGGGAAACAACCCAGACCGCCAGCUAAGGUCCCAAAGUCAUGGUUAAGUGGGAAACGAUGUGGGAAGGCACAGACAGCCAGGAUGUUGGCUUAGAAGCAGCCAUCAUUUAAAGAAAGCGUAAUAGCUCACUGGUCGAGUCGGCCUGCGCGGAAGAUGUAACGGGGCUAAACCAUGCACCGAAGCUGCGGCAGCGACGCUUAGGCGUUGUUGGGUAGGGGAGCGUUCUGUAAGCCGUUGAAGGUGUGCUGUGAGGCAUGCUGGAGGUAUCAGAAGUGCGAAUGCUGACAUAAGUAACGAUAAAGCGGGUGAAAAGCCCGCUCGCCGGAAGACCAAGGGUUCCUGUCCAACGUUAAUCGGGGCAGGGUGAGUCGACCCCUAAGGCGAGGCCGAAAGGCGUAGUCGAUGGGAAACAGGUUAAUAUUCCUGUACUUGGUGUUACUGCGAAGGGGGGACGGAGAAGGCUAUGUUAGCCGGGCGACGGUUGUCCCGGUUUAAGCAUGUAGGCGGAGGUUCCAGGUAAAUCCGGUACCUUUUAACGCUGAGGUGUGAUGACGAGGCACUACGGUGCUGAAGUAACAAAUGCCCUGCUUCCAGGAAAAGCCUCUAAGCAUCAGGUAACACGAAAUCGUACCCCAAACCGACACAGGUGGUCAGGUAGAGAAUACCAAGGCGCUUGAGAGAACUCGGGUGAAGGAACUAGGCAAAAUGGUGCCGUAACUUCGGGAGAAGGCACGCUGAUAUGUAGGUGAAGCCCCUGCGGGUGGAGCUGAAAUCAGUCGAAGAUACCAGCUGGCUGCAACUGUUUAUUAAAAACACAGCACUGUGCAAACACGAAAGUGGACGUAUACGGUGUGACGCCUGCCCGGUGCCGGAAGGUUAAUUGAUGGGGUUAGCGGUAACGCGAAGCUCUUGAUCGAAGCCCCGGUAAACGGCGGCCGUAACUAUAACGGUCCUAAGGUAGCGAAAUUCCUUGUCGGGUAAGUUCCGACCUGCACGAAUGGCGUAAUGAUGGCCAGGCUGUCUCCACCCGAGACUCAGUGAAAUUGAACUCGCUGUGAAGAUGCAGUGUACCCGCGGCAAGACGGAAAGACCCCGUGAACCUUUACUAUAGCUUGACACUGAACACUGGUCCUUGAUGUGUAGGAUAGGUGGGAGGCUUUGAAGCGUGGACGCCAGUCUGCGUGGAGCCAACCUUGAAAUACCACCCUUUAAUGGCUGGUGUUCUAACGUAGACCCGUGAUCCGGGUUGCGGACAGUGUCUGGUGGGUAGUUUGACUGGGGCGGUCUCCUCCCAAAGAGUAACGGAGGAGCACGAAGGUUAGCUAAUCCUGGUCGGACAUCAGGAGGUUAGUGCAAUGGCAUAAGCUAGCUUGACUGCGAGAGUGACGGCUCGAGCAGGUGCGAAAGCAGGUCAUAGUGAUCCGGUGGUUCUGAAUGGAAGGGCCAUCGCUCAACGGAUAAAAGGUACUCCGGGGAUAACAGGCUGAUACCGCCCAAGAGUUCAUAUCGACGGCGGUGUUUGGCACCUCGAUGUCGGCUCAUCACAUCCUGGGGCUGAAGUAGGUCCCAAGGGUAUGGCUGUUCGCCAUUUAAAGUGGUACGCGAGCUGGGUUUAGAACGUCGUGAGACAGUUCGGUCCCUAUCUGCCGUGGGCGCUGGAGAAUUGAGGGGGGCUGCUCCUAGUACGAGAGGACCGGAGUGGACGCAUCACUGGUGUUCGGGUUGUCAUGCCAAUGGCACUGCCCGGUAGCUAAAUGCGGAAAAGAUAAGUGCUGAAAGCAUCUAAGCACGAAACUUGCCCCGAGAUGAGUUCUCCCUGACCCUUUAAGGGUCCUGAAGGAACGUUGAAGACUACGACGUUGAUAGGUCGGGUGUGUAAGCGCAGCGAUGCGUUGAGCUAACCGAUACUAAUGAACCGUGAGGCUUAACCUU